UACGUAGGCAGCAAGCGUUGUUCGGAGUUACUGGGCGUAAAGGGUGUGUAGGCGGUUGUUUAAGUUUGGUGUGAAAUCUCCCGGCUCAACUGGGAGGGUGCGCCGAAUACUGAAUGACUAGAGUGUGGGAGAGGUAAGCGGAAUUCCUGGUGUAGCGGUGAAAUGCGUAGAUAUCAGGAGGAACACCUGCGGUGUAGACGGCUUACUGGACCAUGACUGACGCUGAGGCACGAAAGCGUGGGGAGCAAACAGG
rnacentral:rRNA from 1 species